rnacentral:rRNA from 1 species
AACACAAACCCCGGCGCUGAAUGCGUCAAGGAAUUUAAAAUUUGCUCUAAGCGCACCUGCAUGGCACCGGAGACGGUUUUCGUGCGGGUUGUGUUCUGACACAUAAUAUAGAAUGACUCUCGGCAACGGAUAUCUAGGCUCUUGCAUCGAUGAAGAACGUAGCGAAAUGCGAUACUUGGUGUGAAUUGCAGAAUCCCGUGAACCAUCGAGUCUUUGAACGCAAGUUGCGCCCGAUGCCAUUAGGUUGAGGGCACGUCUGCCUGGGCGUCACAUGUCGAAGCUUCUUGCCAAUUUCCUAAUGAUAGGUAUUGUGCAGGGUGAAUGUUGGCCUCCCGUGAGCUCCAUCGUCUCAUGGUUGGUUGAAAAUUGAGACCUUGGUAGUUUGUGCCAUGAUAGAUGGUGGUUGUGUUACGCACGAGCCAAAAUAAAUCAUGUGCUGCUCUAUCGAAUUUUAGCCUCUUUUACCCACAUGUGUUUCUAAACGCUCGUGAUGAGACCUCAGGUCAGGCGGGGCUACCCGCUGAAUUUAAGCAUAUCAAUAAGCGGAGGAAAAGAAACUAACAAGGAUUCC